rnacentral:rRNA from 1 species
AAUGGACCGGAACUCCCCAAAGAAGACAACCGAAAAGCCGUUCAACUUUGGAGAGGGAAGCACCGAUGCCGGCCCGGUGCGGCGAGUCGCGACCACUGCGGCGAGGAAAAGUCUGGCAGAACAGACCCGCUCGUGAGAGUGCGUUCCACACAAGUCCUCCGACGCGUCUCGUCCGAACUUACCCACGGUACUUCG